CAGGAGGAUAGCCCGGGGAAACUCGGAUUAAUACUCCAUAAGAUUUUGAUUGGCAUCGAUUAAAAUUGAAAGAUUUAUUGGAUAAGGAUAGGCAUGCGUCAGAUUAGUUAGUUGGUAGUGUAACGGACUACCAAGGCGAUGAUCUGUAGGGGGCCUGAGAGGGUGAACCCCCACACUGGUACUGAGACACGGACCAGACUCCUACGGGAGGCAGCAGUGAGGAAUAUUGGACAAUGGAGGGAACUCUGAUCCAGCCAUCCCGCGUGCAGGAAGACGGCCCUAUGGGUUGUAAACUGCUUUUGUAUGGGGAUAAAUCUACUUACGUGUAGGUAGUUGAAGGUACCAUACGAAUAAGCAUCGGCUAACUCCGUGCCAGCAGCCGCGGUAAUACGGAGGAUGCAAGCGUUAUCCGGAUUCAUUGGGUUUAAAGGGUCCGUAGGCGGGCUGAUAAGUCAGUGGUGAAAUUUUGUCGCUCAACGAUAAAACUGCCAUUGAUACUGUUAGUCUUGAGUGAUAUUGAAGUAGCUGGAAUGUGUAGUGUAGCGGUGAAAUGCAUAGAUAUUACACAGAACACCGAUUGCGAAGGCAGGUUACUAAGUAUUAACUGACGCUGAAGGACGAAAGCGUGGGGAGCGAACAGGAUUAGAUACCCUGGUAGU
rnacentral:rRNA from 1 species